rnacentral:tRNA from 1 species
UGUCCAGGGGCGGGAAUCGAACCCACAACCCUCCGCUUACCGGGCAGAUGCCAUGUCCACUAGUCCAC